rnacentral:rRNA from 1 species
UACGUAGGGGGCUAGCGUUGUCCGGAUUUAUUGGGCGUAAAGAGCGUGUAGGCGGCCAGGUAGGUCUGCUGUGAAAACUCGAGGCUUAACCUCGAGAUGUCGGCGGAAACCAUCUGGCUAGAGUCCGGAAGAGGAGAGUGGAAUUCCUGGUGUAGCGGUGAAAUGCGUAGAUAUCGGAAGGAACAUCAGUGGCGAAAGCGACUUCCUGGACCAAUACUGACGCUCAUGUGCGAAAGCGUGGGGAGCAAACAGG